rnacentral:rRNA from 1 species
CGGUGAUUAUAACGCUGAGGUCCCACCCGUUCCCAUCCCGAACACGGUAGUUAAGCUCAGUCGUGCCGAAAAUACUCGGCGGGCAGCCGCCCGGGAAGAUAGGUCGUCGCCG